rnacentral:rRNA from 1 species
GAAAGGCCGAAGCUUGCUUUGGUACUCGAGUGGCGAACGGGUGAGUAACACGUGGGUGAUCUGCCCUGUACUUCGGGAUAAGCUUGGGAAACUGGGUCUAAUACCGGAUAGGAGCUGCAUGUUGGUGUGUGGUUGGAAAGCUUUUGCGGUAUGGGAUGAGCUCGCGGCCUAUCAGCUUGUUGGUGGGGUAAUGGCCUACCAAGGCGUCGACGGGUAGCCGGCCUGAGAGGGUGUGCGGCCACAUUGGGACUGAGAUACGGCCCAGACUCCUACGGGAGGCAGCAGUGGGGAAUAUUGCACAAUGGGCGCAAGCCUGAUGCAGCGACGCCGCGUGGGGGAUGACGGCCUUCGGGUUGUAAACUCCUUUCGCCAGGGACGAAGCGCAAGUGACGGUACCUGGAUAAGAAGCACCGGCUAACUACGUGCCAGCAGCCGCGGUAAUACGUAGGGUGCGAGCGUUGUCCGGAAUUACUGGGCGUAAAGAGCUCGUAGGUGGUUUGUCGCGUCGUUUGUGUAAGUCCACGGCUUAACUGUGGGACUGCAGGCGAUACGGGCAUAACUUGAGUGCUGUAGGGGAGACUGGAAUUCCUGGUGUAGCGGUGAAAUGCGCAGAUAUCACGAGGAACACCGAUGGCGAAAGCAGGUCUCUGGGCAGUAACUGACGCUGAGGAGCGAAAGCAUGGGUU